CUGGCCUCGGUGGUGGCGGUUAUUUCUGGCUCUUCCAGCCUCAGCUCUGCGGGGCUGGGCAGUGUCUCCCACUGUGCUGUCACCAGGGGCAGAGGCCUCCAAAGUGCUGCUCAAGGCCCCCUGUCCCCCACCCCAGGCUAGCCUUGUCUCCCUCGGCAGGGAGCGCUCUGUCCCCAGUGCCUCCCGUAGGUGGAGGGCUUCUGCACCCGGUCUUAUUACAAGUACUCUGCAAACAGCACCUCACUCCACAACGGUCAAGUAACCCGCCCAUGUCCCACCCAGGCUUUCUCACUCCACAGCCUGCCCAGAACCAAUAGGCUCUCCAGCUUCUUGGGUACCUUGGCUCCAGCUGCUGUUUCUUCUGCCUGGAAAGCUGUUUUCCUUUAUUCAAAGCACAACCAACAACGAUUUAUUGAGUUCUUUUUUGUUGAGUGCCAUUGAGUCCAUUCCAACUUCCAGUGCCCCUGUGUCCAGCAGAGGGGAACCUUGCCUGGUCUUUCUGUGCCAUCCUCUCACCUUCCAGCGCUCUCUCAGAUGAUGCUCCACUGCUAUUCACAGGGUUCUCAUGGCCAAUUUUUCAGAAGUGGGUGGCCAGGUCCUUCUUCCUAGUCUGUCUUAGUCUGGAAGCUCUGCUGAAACCCAUCCACCAUGGGUGACGCUGCUGGGAUUUGAAAUAGCGGUGGCAUAGCUUUCACGUUGGCACAGCAACAUGCAACCACCACAGUGUGAAAAAUGACAGACAGUUGGCGUGGUUCCUGACCAAAAACAAACCCGGGCCACAGCGGGAGGCAGGUAAACGUUCGAAUACAGCGGAAGAAAAAUUAAGUGGAUCGUGCUCCCUGCCAGGUAUCAAAGCUGGAGAGCCAUCAUGGCGACAGGCAGACAUCUCUACUCAAGCAGCUGGGGGACCGUUGUAGAAGAGAGUGGACCUCUGAGACGUGGUCCCUGCGACGAGAAUUGGAUCUAUUGUGGGAGAGGGGUUCUAGGCGUGUUUAACGGUCACAGCUAUUCAGAGAUGAGAAGAGUCACCGUGAGAGGUGGUGAGCUGCUCAUCGCUGGCAGAGUCCAAGGGGAGCUAUGCUUGGAGUCAGAGUCUGGUGGCACACUGACCCUGGUGACGGAGCACAGGGGUCUUGGCUACUGGAGGGGGU
rnacentral:lncRNA from 1 species